rnacentral:lncRNA from 1 species
CGGGAGGGGCGGUUUCCCUGCGUGCGCAGGAACCGCCGGCUGUCAGAGGACGCCAGGGCGUUACCUGACCCAGGGUGCCUCAGGGCAGGAGAGGUUUCUGCCGCCCCCUUGGGACCCAGCGCCCCUCCGAGAGCCAGAGCUGCGUUUCCAAUAAGUUCUGCAGCCGGCCCGGGGGAACCUGGGCCCUUUGCAGCAUCUUGGUGCCUCCUGAGGAGCGACGGAGAAGCUGCCUUGUUCGCUGAGUGCUGAGGAGGGGACUCUGGGCGGCUUCCCCGGGACAUACUGAUCAAUGAAGCAAAGAAAUGUACUCAAGAAACCAUGUGGCCAAAGAAGCUUCCCUCUUAUGGAGCCCAUAGACUUAAGGUAAAAAAAAAAAAAAAAAAUCCUUUCUUUGUCCUGGAUUACACUCUCAAAACAGAGGUAAAAGUAAUGAGUAUGUAUUCCUGAUGUCUGUAUGUUCUGUUGAAGAAUGACCUGGACACACUUGAGAGCGCUAAUGCAAUCCUUAGUGACAUCACUCAAAGUGUGCAUGCUCAGUUGUAAUGUGAGAGAGAUCAGAAUGUCAUAGUCUCAUGACUGCCAUAUGUCUAUCAUUGUUAAACUCUAGAUAUUGGGUAGGAAAUAUCUGGAGAAAAACUGAGGUGCACCCUGAUGGUAUCUUGCUGCAGACAAGAUGGGAGUUAAUGGCUGGCAGGUGACUGGGGGGUGCCAGCAGUCGCAAAUCCCAGUGAACUCAGUUUUCCUUCCUUUCCUUCUUUUCUUUUCUCUUCUCUUCCCCUCCCCCUCCCUUCCCUUUCCCUUUCCUUCCUUCCUCCCCACCUCCCAGCUAAAAUCCUUUUCCAGGAGACAAUAUCCUGACAGUGGAGCAAUUCAGAUCAUUGUUUUUGUUGUUCAGCAUGGUUUGCAUUCUUCUCAACUAGUGUCUUUGAGGAACACAAUAGAAGAGAUGUAAGAACAGCUGCAGCAGCAAGAGCUCCCCCUUUCAGACAUCAGGGAGCCCACAAGUUCUGCCCAGUGUUUUCUGAAUCCUUCGGCACCUAAUGCAGACGAUCAAAGGCCCACUGAAUCUCUGCACGUGGGAUUUUGACUGAUGUGCUGACUCUUUCAGAUCACUCUUCGGGAGAAGGUGGCUCGGGACAACUGGGUAAGAAUGUUUUUCUCUCCUCCUCUUGUGCGCGAGCUGCCCCAGCUGAACGUGGGUGUGUUUCUCUCCCACAUCUCAGGGCUCCUGAUCUUGAUGGGGUGAUGGUGGGGUGGAGCAGAGCAGGGAGGUUGCCCGCUUGAAACACCAGUACAGGAUUUUGACAUACUUCGGUUAAGGGCUUUGUGAGGUUUCUAAGGAGAAGCUGUUUCUUGUCCAGGGGAGGCCUGGGUGUGGUAAUUCUUAGUGAAAUUGAUUCAUCUCCAUCUUCCAAGACUGGAAGAAAUCCAAAGACAGAGGCCACCAGAGGAAUCGAGGAGGCAGAAACCAGUGCCAGGAGAAUGUGACAAGGACAUCCCUCCGUGGACAGGUAAGGAGCACGAUGUGAAAUGCAGCAGUUUAAUUUCUGCUGCAACAUCCCCUCGAUUGGCUUCUUGUUCCAGUGGGCAAUCGCUGUGUCUCCUGGAAAUAAUCACAAGAGGUUACUAGAGGAAACAGGUUAUCUCGCAGAGGUGACAGGACUCUGUUUCCUCAGAAGCCCCCAGGUAGCAGGGCACUUUG